rnacentral:rRNA from 1 species
UACGAAGGGGGCUAGCGUUGUUCGGAAUUACUGGGCGUAAAGCGCACGUAGGCGGAUAUUUAAGUCAGGGGUGAAAUCCCGGGGCUCAACCCCGGAACUGCCUUUGAUACUGGGGUAUCUCGAGUCCGAGAGAGGUGAGUGGAAUUCCGAGUGUAGAGGUGAAAUUCGUAGAUAUUCGGAGGAACACCAGUGGCGAAGGCGGCUCACUGGCUCGGUACUGACGCUGAGGUGCGAAAGCGUGGGGAGCAAACAGG